CAGUCGCCGCGGUAAUACGUAGGGUGCGAGCGUUAAUCGGAAUUACUGGGCGUAAAGCGUGCGCAGGCGGUUUUGUAAGACAGAGGUGAAAUCCCCGGGCUCAACCUGGGAACUGCCUUUGUGACUGCAAGGCUAGAGUACGGCAGAGGGGGAUGGAAUUCCGCGUGUAGCAGUGAAAUGCGUAGAUAUGCGGAGGAACACCGAUGGCGAAGGCAAUCCCCUGGGCCUGUACUGACGCUCAUGCACGAAAGCGUGGGGAGCAAACAGGAUUAGAUACCCCUGUAGUCCCUGUCUCUUAUAC
rnacentral:rRNA from 1 species